AGUGGCGGACGGGUGAGUAACGCGUAAGAAUCUAACUUCAGGACGGGGACAACAGUUGGAAACGACUGCUAAUACCCGAUGUGCCGCAAGGUGAAACCUAAUUGGCCUGGAGAAGAGCUUGCGUCUGAUUAGCUAGUUGGUGGGGUAAAGGCCUACCAAGGCGACGAUCAGUAGCUGGUCUGAGAGGAUGAGCAGCCACACUGGGACUGAGACACGGCCCAGACUCCUACGGGAGGCAGCAGUAGGGAAUUUUCCGCAAUGGGCGAAAGCCUGACGGAGCAACGCCGCGUGAGGGAGGAAGGUCUUUGGAUUGUAAACCUCUUUUCUCAAGGAAGAAGUUCUGACGGUACUUGAGGAAUCAGCCUCGGCUAACUCCGUGCCAGCAGCCGCGGUAAUACGGGGGAGGCAAGCGUUAUCCGGAAUUAUUGGGCGUAAAGCGUCCGCAGGUGGUCAGCCAAGUCUGCCGUCAAAACAGGUUGCUUAACGACCUAAAGGCGGUGGAAACGGGCAGACUAGAGAGCAGUAGGGGUAGCAGGAAUUCCCAGUGUAGCGGUGAAAUGCGUAGAGAUUGGGAAGAACAUCGGUGGCGAAAGCGUGCUACUGGGCUGUAUCUGACACUCAGGGACGAAAGCUAGGGGAGCGAAAGGGAUUAGAUACCCCUGUAGUCCUAGCCGUAAACGAUGGAUACUAGGCGUGGCUU
rnacentral:rRNA from 1 species